AGUGAACGCUGGCGGUAGGCCUAACACAUGCAAGUCGAACGGCAGCACAGUAAGAGCUUGCUCUUACGGGUGGCGAGUGGCGGACGGGUGAGGAAUACAUCGGAAUCUACUUUUUCGUGGGGGAUAACGUAGGGAAACUUACGCUAAUACCGCAUACGACCUACGGGUGAAAGCAGGGGAUCUUCGGACCUUGCGCGAUUGAAUGAGCCGAUGUCGGAUUAGCUAGUUGGCGGGGUAAAGGCCCACCAAGGCGACGAUCCGUAGCUGGUCUGAGAGGAUGAUCAGCCACCCUGGAGCUGAGACACGGUCCAGACUCCUACGGGAGGCAGCAGUGGGGAAUAUUGGACAAGGGGCGCAAGCCUGAUCCAGCCAUACCGCGUGGGUGAAGAAGGCCUUCGGGUUGUAAAGCCCUUUUGUGGGGAAGAAAAGCAGCAGGUUAAUACCCCGCUGUUCUGACGGUACCCAAAGAAUAAGCACCGGCUAACUUCGUG
rnacentral:rRNA from 1 species